UACGUAGGAUGCAAGCGUUGUCCGGAAUUAUUGGGCGUAAAGAGCGCGCAGGCGGUCAUUCAAGUCAGAUGUGAAAUAUCCGGGCUUAACCCGGAGGGGUCAUUUGAAACUGGGUGACUAGAGUACAGCAGAGGAUAGCGGAAUUCCCGGUGUAGUGGUGAAAUGCGUAGAUAUCGGGAGGAACACCUGUGGCGAAAGCGGCUCACUGGACCAUUACUGACGCUGAUGCACGAAAGCUAGGGGAGCAAACAGG
rnacentral:rRNA from 1 species